rnacentral:sRNA from 1 species
UCCAGUCUGCUCCCACGAUGUGAGGCUGC